GCAGUUUGUCCUAAUUUUGGCAAACGUUGGACACCAUAUAUGAGUUGAAUAUUUUAGGUAUUAAACAGCAGAAAUUAUUUAAUUUAAUUAACAUUCCUAAAAAUGCUGAAUAAAUAUUUUUGAAGACUUAACCACACAUUCACAUACACAUGGAGUGUUUAAAUGGCCUCUGGCACUUUUAACUCUUGCUGUGUCCAAAUUCAGAAGUAGCAAGCUUCGAAGGACAUAUUUGUAGGCAAUGAUGUCACAGUGACGCAACGAAGGGUGUCCAAAUUCGAAGAGUCCUCCAAAUGUGGCGACAAAUGCGUCCUUCAUUUCCCCGAAUUUGAAGGAUGGGUCGGUGUAUCCUUCGUGUCCUACCAUAUGCCAGGAUUCAUUGCGGGCCAUACAGGGGAUUUUUUCUGAUAACAAUGGCGGUCGAAGCGGGAGUUAAUGCGGGAGAGGAAAACACUUUCAAAUGGUACAAAGACCAAACGGCUCAAUUUAUUAAAACGAGGAGAUAACGAUCACCUCUUCACUGGGGUAAAGAAUUCGGCGACUGUGGCAUGCAGGUGCAAAGCUUUACCUGCAUCUCAGGUGAUUGCAUGGGGGUGUGGUCGCAGUUUAUUUACCUGAUCCCGGUGUUCGCAGCAGGUGUGUUGGGUGAGUGGUUUGUGGGCAAACUUUU